UUCUUCCCUUCUUUUUCGUUUUUCUUUUCUCUUCCCUUCUCUUUUUGAGCAGAACGCUUUGAAGGAGGAGAAGAAGUUCUUGUUCUUGUUCGUAAAAUAGUCGGAGGAGAGAGAGAAGAUAACGCAGUAGAU
rnacentral:ribozyme from 13 species